UACAGAGGUCCCAAGCGUUGUUCGGAUUCACUGGGCGUAAAGGGUGCGUAGGUGGUGAGGUAAGUCGGAUGUGAAAUCUCCGAGCUCAACUCGGAAACUGCAUUGGAAACUACCUUGCUCGAGGGUUGGAGGGGGGACUGGAAUGCUUGGUGUAGCAGUGAAAUGCGUAGAUAUCAGGAGGAACACCGGUGGCGAAGGCGGGUCUCUGGGCCGAUACUGACGCUGAGGAGCGAAAGCGUGGGGAGCGAACAGG
rnacentral:rRNA from 1 species